rnacentral:hammerhead_ribozyme from 1 species
AUCCAGCUGACGAGUUCCAAAUAAGACGAAACGUGAGUCCUGGAU